rnacentral:rRNA from 1 species
AGUGAACGCUGGCGGCAGGCCUAACACAUGCAAGUCGAGCGGCAGCGCGGGGGAAACCCUGGCGGCGAGCGGCGGACGGGUGAGGAAUUCGUCGGAAUCUGCCUUUUUGUGGGGGAUAACGUAGGGAAACUUACGCUAAUACCGCAUACGUCCUACGGGAGAAAGUGGGGGACCGCAAGGCCUCACGCAGAAAGAUGAGCCGACGACCGAUUAGCUAGUUGGUGGGGUAAAGGCCCACCAAGGCGACGAUCGGUAGCUGGUCUGAGAGGAUGAUCAGCCACACUGGGACUGAGACACGGCCCAGACUCCUACGGGAGGCAGCAGUGGGGAAUAUUGGACAAUGGGCGCAAGCCUGAUCCAGCCAUGCCGCGUGUGUGAAGAAGGCCUUCGGGUUGUAAAGCACUUUUGUCCGGAAAGAAAUCCCUGGAGCUAAUACCUUCGGGGGAUGACGGUACCGGAAGAAUAAGCACCGGCUAACUUCGUG